UACGUAGGGUGCGAGCGUUAAUCGGAUUUACUGGGCGUAAAGCGUGCGCAGGCGGCCCGUUAAGACAGGUGUGAAAUCCCUGGGCUCAACCUAGGAAUUGCGCUUGUGACUGGCGGGCUCGAGUACGGUAGAGGGGGGUGGAAUUCCUGGUGUAGCAGUGCAAUGCGUAGAGAUCAGGAGGAACACCGAUGGCGAAGGCAGCCCCCUGGGCCUGUACUGACGCUCAUGCACGAAAGCGUGGGGAGCAAACAGG
rnacentral:rRNA from 1 species